GCCACAUUACAGCUUUCUGCCCAGUGACCUGGGCCAGAGGUUACUUUGAUUUUCCAGUUCACCUUUUAGAAAGAUGAUUCCGAGAGGAGGAGAGACUGGACGCAGAGAUUAUUUGGAUGCCCUGGUCUUGGACAAUCCGGAGUCAUCCAGAUGGUUAUCACCUCCCACUGCAGAUGAGCACCUGGAGCCCAGAAUCAAUGGCUUCAUCGAAGGAGUCUGCAGAGCUCCAACCUACUAGAGCCUAAGGGUGCAGAGCUGACUUAGGUGUGGUCCCUAGAAAGUCAGUGGCUGUAAGGCAGAGUGCAGAAUGCCAGAGGAGCACCCUGGGGUGCUGUGGGAGCAGGGAGUCAGGGUGCAGGGUGGGGCUCAGUGAAUGUUUUCACAAGAUUUGUCCAAUAUUCCUGUGAAGCAGGAGAAAGGCUGUAGCUCUGGAUGGUACCCAGUGGCUGUGUCCCGCCUCCCAGGGGCUAGGCACCUGCUCUGCCCCCACAGGACAUCGGGUCCCUGUAGAGUAGAAUGUUGGCCCCACUGACACAGAGGAAAGGCUUCGUGUGUUUUAACUGCUUUAUCUCCUGCUCCUAAAAUAGAGCCUGGCCCCAAGGCACUUGAUAAAUAUUUGCUGUGGAAUGAAUAGACACUUAUACACGUGUACACACAGACACACACACACACACACACACACACGCACGCACGCACCAGCAUGCCACUCUGUCUCGGAAAUACAGAAUUCACAAGCCAAAGGAAGUCUCAAGAAUAGUGCCCAUUGCUAGCUGGGGACAGAACCAGAGCCAGAGCCGUGGAGACUUGAUUCUCGUUCUCAUAUGCAUGCCCCGAAGACCAUGCGCCCACCAGGCACUGGGACACCCACGUUCUGAUAUCAU
rnacentral:lncRNA from 1 species